AGCCUCCCGAAAGGGAGAUUAAUACCGCAUAACACUGCGGUUUCGCAUGAAACUGCAGUUAAAGGAGCAAUCCGCUAUGAGAUGGACCCGCGGCGCAUUAGCUAGUUGGUGAGGUAAAGGCUCACCAAGGCCACGAUGCGUAGCCGACCUGAGAGGGUGAUCGGCCACAUUGGAACUGAGACACGGUCCAGACUCCUACGGGAGGCAGCAGUGGGGAAUAUUGCACAAUGGGCGAAAGCCUGAUGCAGCAACGCCGCGUGGAGGAUGAAUGCCUUCGGGUUGUAACUCUUGUCUUCUGGGACGAUAAUGACGGUACCAGAGGAGGAAGCCACGGCUACUAUUGUGCCAGCAGCGCGGUAUACGUAGGUGGCGAGCGUUGUCCGGAUUUACCUGGGCGUAAGGAUGCGUAGCGGAUAUUAAUGGGAUGUGAAAUACCU
rnacentral:rRNA from 1 species